rnacentral:pre_miRNA from 1 species
GAGACACCCUUCUGGGGCAAGACUUGCUUCAGUGGGGCUUUGGUGCUCACUGAGUCUGCUCCCUGAGUGUGUCUUU